GGCUGGUCCUUGGCUGAGCCCUGCCCCGCCCGGGGUGCGGCUGCCGGGCAGGAGGAGGAAGCCGCAGCGGUUCCGGGCACAGAUCGCGUUGCCCGGAGCCUGCAGCCGCCGCCGGCAGAAGCGUCCGGCGGAGGGGCCGGACCGGACCGGACCGGAGGGGCGGCGCUGGGAAGAUCUGCAGCCGCCCAGAGAACUGAGCUGGGGCCGAGCCCGUUGGCCUGGGUCGGCGUGCCCUGUGGAUGGGCGUGGUACAGAUUUGCUGCUAGCACAGACUUAGCUCCCUCUGCCGUAGUUUGCCAGGUGGCUGGAGGCACCGCAGCAAGAGAGGACCUGUGAGAGCUCGUCUUGCCUUGGGGGAACAUGCAGCGCGGUGGCAUCACUGUUGAGAACCCCUACGCCAGCGUGAAUAUUCCGCGAGGUCAGCUCGAGAACAGCUUCAUUAAGCGCUACCUGGGGGAGGAGCAGCCCUCGCCCACUGUCAUUGUUAAUCCUGGGGCCGUGCCCACCUACCCAGCCCCAGAGCAGCUGAAUGGGGCCAGUAAAUCGGUGCCACUGGAUAGUUGGGAUGGUUCAAAAGUCCUGACGCGGGAGUCCUGGGCCCAGCCGUAUAACCCUUAUGCCAGCCUGAAGCUGCUGAACGGCGCUUCCUCAGCCUCGCUCUACACCAUCGAGCUAGACAAGCACCAGAAGAGUCCUGAGGUGGGCACGAACAGUGGCUGCUGCUGCUGUAAGUACUGCCCCUGCUGCCGGAAAUGCUGCUGUGUCGUCUCCUAACCCCACAAGCCCUGACCCCUGGCCACACCCAGGCUGUCGGCCUGAGCCAGCCUCCUUAAGGAGCUGGGAUCCUGCCGGUAGAACUGCAGCCAGGGGGCUGGGAUGGACAGCCCCUGAGCUAUGGUGCCCAUCCUAGCAGGAACUGUGGGGCGCCUCUGGGGGCGAGCGGAGCCAACGGCAGCCUUGCAGUCUCCUGAGACUCUCAGUGAUCUUUGGCUCUCUCGGGCCGUGGGGAGGGGGUGUGACUAUAUUUGCCCUGGUGGCAGGGCGGCUUUCUAGACCUUGUUUAUCCUACGGAAAGUGAGCUCAGGUGCCAUGGUGAUGGGCACGUAGCAGUGAUGUGCUGCCAGGAUCGUGGCCAGGCCUCGGGGGAGUUUCAAGACAUGCUGAUGAAGCCUGGAGUGCCUCGUGCAGUGCCCUGUGGUGGAAACCCGACCGCUUGCUCCCACUUACUGUCUGGCUGGGGAACAGUCCUGAUGCAACAGGCCGUGCAGCUGUGCUGACCCCCACGCAGACAAAGACAUGCCCUGGUUUCACCCAUUGGAGAAGCAAGAACCUGAGCUUGGGGGGGCCUGAGCAGUGUUUCAUGGGUGCUUGUGGAUUCUCACUGCCCCUCCCCGUGGCUGAGGCAUGCUGGGAACAGUCUCGUCUAGCUGCAAAGGCUGCGUGCCUCUUGAUCGUGCGGGGAAGUGGCCUUGCAAACCAAGGCCUUGUCUACACACAACAGUCAUGGUUCAUGUGGUACAAUUCUCUAGUGUGGAUGCAGCUAGACCGAGGGAAAGGUGCUCAGACUGGUCUAGCAUCUGGUAGGGGAAGGGAAUGAGCUCUACUGGUACGAAGCACCUGGAUCCUGCUCUAACUGCGUCCACGCUAGGACUUGGGCUGGUAGAACGGGGAAGGGAACGCUCACCCCUGACCCACACGGCUGAGAGGUACAAACUCAGUUUGCUAAGCAGGCUGGAAUGAGGAUCCUGCCAGUCCUUGCCUGCUCGCCCUCCGGACAAAAGAAGGAAACACACCCAGGGCAAACAAACAAACCAAGCAGCUUGGAGAAUGUGCUGGGCUCUGCUCUGGGGAUGUGCCAUGGCUGGACACACUGGCCUCUGGGUCUGAACUCACAGUGGGAGGAGACUGUUCUGGCACCUCACCCCCCUCGGUGCUGGCAGGAGCUGCUUUCCAGGGCUUGGGUGGCCUGCUGUCCCUGCAGCGCAGGCAGGGGCCGUGCCCUUGUACCCCCAGCUUGGUCUGGAGAGGGGGCAGCAGGCCAGCCCUGCUCUACGUGAGCAGCAGGGCCUGGCCAGUGCUCGGCUGUUGGUGUUAGUGCCAGUGCUGCUGUGGGACUAGUGCAGGCUGCAGAGGAGGGUUCAGAAUGAAAUGGGGAUGGGAGGGGAGGGGAAGGGAAGGAGUGGGACAAGGGGUGUGGAGUCCUCUAGGCCCCAGUCAGCUGUGCAGGACCUGCCAGACUCCAAGCCACUGGGGUUGUCAGAUGGCCAGGAAUAGGGUGUGAGCCCUGUGCUAGCGCUUACCCCAUUGCUAGACCUGCUGCAUCACUCCUCGAGAGCAGCCGGGCCACUGUCUCUGGGGCAGGCGCAGCAGGACGGGGCAGGGACCAUGCCCAGGGUCCUGUGUGCAGAAUCUCAGCUUACCCGGCUAGGAAGAUUCUAACCGUUGUGUAGGCUGGGUAGAAUUCAGCUUUUAUUUGUUUGUGAUCUCUACGGAGAGUAUCAAUGUUUAUUUUAAAGAAUAUUUUUAGUUUUAUUGAUUUAAAUUUUCACAGUAGGGGAAGUUAUUGGAGAGUCAGAAAAUGGAGGGUCGGACAAUUAUUUAAUGACCGUAGACGAUGAGAUUCAAAAAGUUAAAGGUUUAUAACCAUUAAAACACAAACUCUCGAAGUAUACAAAGGAAGUAGGCAAUGUAAAAAAAAUGCUGCUUUGAUAUAAGGCGAUCUGUAAAUUUGGGGUAUUCUCAAUGGAAACAGUUUUUGGUCAUUUGGGUGUGUAUGGUGAAAUCGAUGUUCAUGGAUAUUUACCGACAAAAGUCGAAUCCUUCCAACCCUACCUUGAUGAUUAUAAAGAAAACCUUCCCCGUGAGGGCUCGCUGUAAGACAGCCUGAAACAAUCGUUCUGAGAGGUGUGAAUGGCCCGGCCCACCCUCUUGAUGUGUGUUGACUCAAACCUAAUGAUGUCAGCAUUUGAACUAUUUCACUGCUGAUCACUGUAGCAGAAACUCCCGGCUCAUUUUUGCUCACUCUAACCCUAGCUGCCUCCCAGAUAUCCCCAGGUACCAAAAGCUCCCACUGUCUCCUGCCCAGCUGCCAGAACUUCCCCCUGCCAACAUCCAGCCCAGAACUCUGCAGCAGGGGACAGUGUCCGCUCCAUGGCCUGGAAUGUCACUGGGACGCUGGGCGUACAGUCCAGGGGGGUGGGGUUCCAUGGGUGGGACCAAGGAGCCAUGCUGCAGAGCUCCAGCUCGUUAUGGCCUUCACCCAAGUGCAUUGAGCCACCAUCGCCUGCAAGGAGUGACCCAGGAGCCCGUCUGUGCCUCUUGUCCCUCAGCUGCGUUGCUCCCCCCUCCAGGUGAUCUAGAGCAAUAGGCCAGUUGUACUCCAACUAGUGCCUCCAAAGGCCAAUUUGUCCCUUGCCAGGCGAGUGUGAACGCUCCGUGCAUCGUCGCUGGUCCCUGGAUCACAAGCUGCAGUGUAAAGAGCGUUGCAUGGGGUGUCCAGCCCCCAGCUCUGAUGGAAGCUGCAGUGCGUGCCUCCCAUAGACCCCCAGGUGAGGCCUGUGGCUUGCCUGCCCGGGUGCCAUGCAGCCGCGUAGCCAGGACUGGAUGCUGCUGCUGCCAGCUCUGCAUGGAUUCAAUGGGCAUUGUGUGCACAUGGCUACAGGACUGCCCUGGCUGGGACAGCGGCAGAGGUCCUGUCUAUAACAUGGCUGUGGGAGGGCCCAGUUCCCAGCAGGGCUCACCCUGGACCCGGUUAAAGCCCGGAUCUGGUUUGAUUGCACCUGAACUGUGCUAAAGCCUUGGGCUGUCCACGGUGCUGCUGCUACACAGAGCGCCUGUGCUGGGAGUGGGGUUCUGGUUCUGCCUGUGCUCUCAGACCCAGAGCGUCCCCGCCUGUGUGGAGCAGGCGAUUCAGGAUUUCACCGGCUGCUGAACAAUGCCUGGGCCCUGCGGAGAAAUCUGGCGUUUCCUGGGGCCCCUGUCACUGUUGCUGUGAAUAAAGUAAUUUGACCAGG